AAAUGAAUAGACGGGGGCCCGCACAAGCGGAGGAACAUGUGGUUUAAUUCGAUGAUACGCGAGGAACCUUACCUGGGUUUAAAUGGGAAGUGACAGGCUUGGAAACAGGCCCUUCUUCGGACACUUUUCAAGGUGCUGCAUGGUUGUCGUCAGCUCGUGCCGUGAGGUGUCGGGUUAAGUCCCAUAACGAGCGCAACCCCUAUCGAUAGUUACCAGCACGUAAUGGUGGGGACUCUAUCGAGACUGCCGGUGUAAACCGUGAGGAAGGUGGGGAUGACGUCAAAUCAGCACGGCCCUUACAUCCAGGGCUACACACGUGUUACAAUGGCCGGUACAAAGGGCAGCUACACAGCGAUGUGAUGCUAAUCUCUAAAGCCGGUCUCAGUUCGGAUCGAAGUCUGCAACCCGACUUCGUGAAGCUGGAUUCGCUAGUAAUCGCGCAUCAGCCAUGGCGCGGUGAAUACGUUCCCGGGCCUUGUACACACCGCCCGU
rnacentral:rRNA from 1 species